GACUGCGUAACAGGGUAGGGGGACAGGCAGAAAAUGUCACCAGAAAACGGCACCAUCACAGAGAAGAAACAGACACCACCGCAGCACCUAAACUGGGUCUAUGCCAACUGAGAGCAAAAACUGGAUUACAUUUACUUUUGGAGCUUUGACUUGUUACAACCAUGCCGGAAUUAUCAAGGACACAGUCUUGGCAUAACGAGCAGGAUCAGAUGACACAAGCAGACUCCUCACUGGCCACAGCCUUGUGUAACUCCAUCCAGUGCUGUGUUUAUCAUCCUGGACUGUUGGGGGAGAAGGCCUGCCCAGCGCUGGAGCGGCACAUGCAGCCAAGAGAAAGAAUGCCUUGUGCUCUGAUAAAUAUGAAGAUAAGAAUAAUGAUCUGGGCCAAAUCCUAAUAAUAGAUGUGAAAAUGUAACUACAGCAGGGUGUGUCCACCUCUCUCUCUCUCUCUCACCCAUCCCCUCUGCUAACAAGUGUCCAGGCAAAGUGUUUCAUGGUCAGAGGAGGUGAAGACGGAUCAGGUGAAAGAUGGACAAUAAAGGCUGAGAAGCAGCAAAGAGCGUAAAUCAGAUGUUUGAGCAGGACAGAGGGGGGAAAAAAAUUAGGAAUAACAGGGAAAUCUGGUCGGGAUAAGAGAGUGGGCGGAUCUGCUCCAACAUGUAGAAUCUUCUGCUGUAAUUUCACAUAAUUCAGGUCAAUGAUAGAGAUAAAAGUAGUGUCAAAAUCAGGGAAAUGAAAAAAAAAAAAUGAAAAAAAUGCACAAAAACAGAAAAAAGAGAAAUCUAUGUUUUCUGAGACAUGAAGGUUUUAAAACAGAAGGUGGAGCAUGGCACAAAAUGAUGCAGCAGUCACCCUGUGCUAUUUCUCAGAAUAAUAAAACAAACAAAAACAAAGAGCUACCCACUUGCAGAAGCAUGUCCAGCUGAUGUGAAUAUGUAUUUGUGUUUACUAGAGUACAGAACAUUUUAUUCUCUCUUCUCGAGAGCUUCGGCCUCAGCCAUUACACAACAGCACACCACACUCCCUCCCUCCCUCCCCAUCCUUUCUCUUUACAGGCAGAUCUCACUCAUCUUAUCUGUGUCUUCUUAGGUUCACCGUGUUCACAUCAACAUGUUCCUCCAGUCACGGAUGACGGCAUGACAGCUCUUUAAACAGACAGAAGCUACAAAUCAUCACAUUUCACACAUCAGGAGUGCCGCAUGAGGCCUGUAAACAAACCGCCCUGUGACUGCAGAUCCACGCUAUUAAAAGUUACAUUCAGCUCCGAUAAACAAAGUUAACCUUUUAGUGGCAUGAAAAUUCUCAGACGACUGCAGAAAAGCUUGGCCCUGUCAUUUUAAGAUAAAACCUGUUGCUAGUGGCAACAGCACAGUCGGCACUGCUGUCACUGUGGACAUGACAGAUAAAUAUCACUGACUCUCUUAUCUCUGGGUGGCCAAUAAAUGUUAUUCUUUUGGAUAUUUCAGUGUUUACAACAGCGUGACGGAUAUUUAUGACACCCGAUACAAGCCUCUGCAGAAAGAUACACAUUUUUUUUAAGUUGGGAGCCGUUUUAAAACCAUUUUUAAUCAACUCUAACAUGUAUGGCUAUCAUGUAUAGCUGUUAGAGUUGAUUAAACAUCAGGAGAAAUUGUUGUGUUCUUUUUAUUUCAGUUGAUUUACUGAUGACCCAAUUUUGUAAUCCCUCCCUGGCAGGCCUUGUGUAGAAGUUGUUCCCUGUGAUGGUGCAAAUGUUUGAUCAGGUUUUCCUCUAUUGCUUUACAUAUGUGUCUCCAAUAAAACAAAAUAAGUAUGGGACUGUAAACAAGGCAACGAAGAGACAUUAAGAAAGUAAUAACAAGUGAUAAACAGAGUUAAAGAACCUUAUCCAACAACAUGUGAACUGUUUGACCCCUAAAAUGAUUCCCUAAAUUGAAAAAAACUUCAUCAAAUGAAGUGUUGCGAACUGAAAGUUUUAAUCUCUGAGUGUUCUGACUGUUAAUGUUAAUGUAAGACAGGGAGAAGGUCAGAUUUUAUAUAUAUACAGUAUAUAUACACACAUAUGUUAGAAGAAAAUAAAAGCUUGGCUUGGUGUACUAAUCACGCACUAAUUUGAGCUCAGCUUCUGUAGCCAGGCAGCAGCUCAAGCUGCACAAGUCAGCGCGACAGGCAGCACCCUGAUCCUGUAUCCUGCACCAACACGAUGCUCAGCCCACUUUAAUGCACGGCUGAAUCAGAAUCUCUACCGUUCUUCACUGUAUGGUCACAACAACCUACGACUACUUGAAUGAACUCUGACCAGAGCGGCAUCGAGAAGAACAGAAAAAAAAAACAGAUGCAGGAAGAAGCAUGGACGUGAACCUAAUCACUGUCAUCAUGUUGUUUGUCUGAAAAACUGUGUAGUGAAGCAUUACUGAUGAAAAGCUGAUGAUGUUUGAGAUUCAUUUCUUGUCUUGUCCUGUCUAUAGUGUUUGUGUAUUUGUGUCCUUAAAUUGCUUACAUGAUUAAACUGGUCGAAGUGCAGUCGGUUCAACCAUAGUGCUGCUGUGCUGCCCACUAAUAUUUAUCUGUGUUGUCAGUCCUUUGUGAGAACUUCUCUUUAGUUGCAGGCAUGCUCUGUGAGGUCUUGUUUGUUUUUGCUUCACUGUAUGUGUCACUAAAAUGUAGGAAAAGAGCCUUAGACAGAAAGGUAGUGGAAUAAAAAAUGCUUGAUUGUGUGUCAAUUUCAGCAUCAGUCUCCUUUUUUAUUGGGUGGAUGCAUGAUGUAACUUCCACAAAAUAUGCAAGUACAUUUGUAAAAGUGUAUGGUAGCUUUAAAAGAAUAAGACUUUUUAAAGUACUUCAACUUUACGGAGGCUGUUUAUACAGCAGCCCAAUCAGCCCGAGUCUGUGUGGUUUUUAGUGUUUUGCAGCAGAAGCUGACUGUGCCAUCAAAGAACAUCAACGUCCUCUCUGGUAUGUGAAGGCUAUGUAGCACCCUGGCACACUUAGGAGAUGGGGGGGUUGUUGCAAUCUGCAGUCUCACCAUUAGAUGUCACUAAUUCUUACACACUGGUUCUUUAACCUUGUAAGCAAGGAAACUACUCUACUGUGCAUAAAGGCACUUUCAUUCCUGACCUUGAACAUGUGAAAAUGUGAUCUGAACUGUGCAGAUGUUUUAUUUUUCCUUUUGUCAGGUGAGUUGCGAUUCCUCUGAGCUAAACUGAUGGAGGUCUAAUUGGUGGAUGAUGAACUCUCUGGUGCUGCACAGACACUCUCAGCUCCAGCCGUUCUGAACACUGUACAAGACAGUGAUUUAUGGGAAGCCGUAUAAAGACCAUCAGCACUCUGUGUGUGCUCUGUGGGCUGAGGACCACUGACACAGGGGGGAGGAGUCCGGCGUGCCCUUGUCCUGGACAGACACUCAACCUGUCUGUGAUGGAGAAGCUGUUGUCUCUGAGAGAAUUGCUGUUAAACAUACAU